rnacentral:rRNA from 1 species
CCAGACUCCUACGGGAGGCAGCAGUGGGGAAUAUUGCACAAUGGGGGGAACCCUGAUGCAGCGACGCCGCGUGGGUGAAGAAGUCAUUCGUGACGUAAAGCCCUAUCAGCAGGGAAGAAAAUGACGGUACCUGAAGAAGAAGCCCCGGCUAACUACGUGCCAGCAGCCGCGGUAAUACGUAGGGGGCAAGCGUUAUCCGGAUUUACUGGGUGUAAAGGGGGCGCAGACGGCGAUGCAAGCCAGGAGUGAAAGCCCGGGGCCCAACCCCGGGACUGCUCUUGGAACUGCAUGGCUGGAGUACAGGAGGGGCAGGCGGAAUUCCUAGUGUAGCGGUGAAAUGCGUAGAUAUUAGGAGGAACACCAGUGGCGAAGGCGGCCUGCUGGACGACAACUGACGGUGAGGCGCGAAAGCGUGGGGAGCAAACAGGAUUAGAUACCCUCGUACC